GACGAACGCUGGCGGCGUGCUUAACACAUGCAAGUCGAACGGAAAGGCCCUGCUUUUGUGGGGUGCCCGAGUGGCGAACGGGUGAGUAACACGUGAGUAACCUGCUCUUGACUUUGGGAUAACUUCAGGAAACUGGGGCUACUACCGGAUCGGAGCUCCCGCUGCAUGGUGGGGGUUGGAAAGUUUCGGCGGUAGGGGCUGGACGCGCGGCUUAUCAGCUUGUUGGUGGGGGAGUGGCUUACCAAGGCUGUGACGGGUAGGCGGCCCGGGAGGGGGACCGGCGACAUGAGGACUGCGAGACGCAGCAGAGUCCUACGUGAGGCAGCAGGGGGAAGUAUGGUACAGUGAGCGGGAGCCUGAGGCAGCAGCGCCGCGUUCGUGAUGACGUCCUGCGGGGUGUAAACCGCUUUCGCCUGUGACGAAGCGUGAGUGACGGUAAUGGGUAAAUAAGCACCGGCUAACUACGUG
rnacentral:rRNA from 1 species